rfam:Dipodomys ordii contig_39541, whole genome shotgun sequence.
GGCUCAGUGGUAGAGUGCUUGCCUUGCAUGCAUGAGGUCCUGGGUUCGAUUCCUCAG